rnacentral:Y_RNA from 1 species
GGCUGGUCCAGUAGUAGUGGGUUAUCAGAACUUAUUAACAUUAGUGUCACUAAAGUUGGUAUACAACCCCCAACUGCUAAAUUUGACUGGCUUAAA